UUGUUGUUAACCUCUAAGGAAGGAGUCUUCCACCUCCAUUGUUGAACAUCUCUUGCUGUCAGAAAGUUCAUUCUGAUGUUUAGCCUGUUAGACGCUUUCAGGAGGGAGAAUUCUGUGCUUGCCUGGUAUCCUUAAUGCUCUUUCCCCACAGAUGUACACGAGGAGUGGAUUCAAGAAAGCAGCCUGAACUUUUGUAACUGUGGAGCUGCACUUAUGAAGAAGUGUAGCCUGAACUUCAGCUGGGCUUUCCCUUUUUUUGCUGUCUCAGGAUGGUGUUGCUUGAAGGAUUGCGCCCUAAAUCAACUUUAUGGGAGCCCACAGUCAGUGAUUGCUCCAAAGUGUCAUGACAUUUUUCUGGGCAACUGCAAUAAAGAUAUCGACCAAUCUUUUUAACUUGGGAGGAUGAGCCUGUGGGCAUCAGGCUAGUUUUGAGAAUUACUGACAAUAAUAGAGUGUGCCUCAGUUGGAGGCAGUCAAAUAAAAAAUAUAACGGGUGUAGAAAUAUGCUAGCCAUCAAACAGAGAGAGACUUCUCUUUGAGGUGGUUCACAAGAGCAAGUCAUUAAUAAAUUGAACAGUUUUAGGGGGAGGCAAGAAUUCCCACCCAAGUCUAAUACCAUACUUUAAAGGUUCUGUUGGUGAAAAGGGAUAUCCAGAGCUAAACAAGUGAUGUGUAAGCUGCCACCUUGAAGAAUGCCUUAUUUUCCUUUGUUCUGCAAUUUCUAAACUGCCCUUCAUCAAGGAGAUCCACCGAAUCAAUUGAUCACAGAAUCAAACUACAGCAGAAAUUGAUGUGAAAACAACAAGGUAGGCUUCAGAGGCAACUGAACUGUAGCAGCACGGAAACAGUGCUGAUUGCAAUAAACACAGUACAGGAUGGAAUUCCCAGGAUGGAAAUUCCCCAUGCAAUAUUCUUUCCUGAAGCAGUGUUUCUCAAGCAGGCAUCUUUCUAAUAUGCACAUGCACAUGUAUCCAAAAGCUUCACACCCAUUGCCGCCUGCAAAUCACAGGAGUUGAUUUGGUAUAUCCUUAUCUCUUUCCAGACCUAAAGAGGCAUUUGGAGCCUUAAUCCUUCACAGCUUACUGGGGUCAGCUGUAGUCUUGAUUAGAACUGAUCCCUUUUCUUUUUCUGAGAAUAUUUUCUUCCUACCCUGGGGAAGAAAAUUACUUUUGCAGAAUUCCCCCCCCCCCCAAUAUUCUCC